UAAAAGACGUCCGCCACAGCAAACCCGGGUGGCCAUUCCCCAGGGCAUCACCGGAUCAACUCCUCCCUCCGUACCCAAAUUCCGAUCGCUCAAAGGCUCCUCUUCGUCUCCAGCUCGUUCUUUCUCUCCUCCUCGAUCCCUUCACGCCUUUUCCGGCGUUCGAAUGCUGCGACCCCGCCCACCGCCGCCGUCCUUUGCCCGUCUGGUCACGCCGCCGUAGCCCGCCGCCCGCCGGAAUCCUCGUUUCCGGCGUUCGACAGGGCGAGGAAUCGCCGCGGGCUCGGAGGAGUGGUCCGGGCGGGGGGUUCUAGGGUUUCUUUUCCCGUUCCUUGAUCUUUUCUCUUCGCGCCUGGGUUUCUGGACGACGGGUGGGGGUUAGGGUUUCUUGAACGUCGCCAUGCCUCCGGGGCGCAGGAGAGGUGGGGGCCGGGGCAAGGCGAUGGACCAGUUCAAGCUGGGGGAUUUGGUUCUGGCGAAGGUGAAGGGAUUCCCGGCAUGGCCGGCGAAGAUAGGCAAUCCCAAAGAUUGGGGGCAAUCACCUGAUCCUAGGAAAUACUUCGUGGAGUUCUUCGGGACUUCUGAAAUUGCUUUUGUUGCACCAGCUGAUAUUCAAGUAUUUACUAAGGAAUCGAGAAGUAAGUUGAUAGCUCGCUGUCAGGGUAAAACUGUCAAAUAUUUUGCCCGUGCUGUGGAUGAGAUUUGUGGGGCUUUUGAAGAACUGCACAAGAAAAGUUCAGGUGAGCUUGGACAGGAUGUUGACAGGACCACCACUGGUCCUGCAUUUUCCCAAACUGAUUGUUUUGAAGAUAGCAAGGAUCUAGUAGAUAACCAUGAGACAUUUCCAUUAAAAAAUCGGGAGGAAAAAGUGGAGCAGAACGAAAGAGAUAAGAGUGAGAACUCUAGUGAUGAGUUGCAUGGCUUGGAGCACUGUUCACGGAGUCAUGAGGGGAACGUGACCUCUGAUUUGAAGCCUAGCGAUUUAAGUGGAACAGAAUCUUUAGUUUUGUCUGAGUUGAGGAGGAAGAAAGCUUCAAAUACUGAUGGUAUACAUGAGCCACUAGAAAGGAAAGCUUCAGUUUCUAAUUCAGCUUCUGGUGGUCCUUCCCUGAAGGAAGAUAAUCUAACAAGUCCUCAUCUUGAUGUCAAUCAAGGUAAUGACAGGGAAAUAUGCUCCAAAGCUGAAAUGGUGGAGACUCUUCCAAAGGGCUCUGUGGCUAGUGGAUAUCAGCAUCUUUGUGAUUCGGAAAGAGGCCAUGGGGACCUGUCUUGCAGCGGGCCUCUGGGUUCUCCACCUGUGGCAACAUCAGUUCAUUUGAAAAAUGCAAGCAAUGUACAGAAAGUUGUAGAGAAUGGCCGUCUCAUAGCAAAGGUGGUUCCUAAAUCAAAAAGAGAACUCAGCAAUGACCUGAAAGUACAAAGAAGCCCUGCACUAAAAAAGCAGAAGGAUUCUUAUAUGAAGGGGAAAAAACAGCACAUAUAUGAAAAUAUUGCUUCACGUGAUGGUGCUAGACCCGAAAAAGCUUCAAGAUUAGAUGCUGAUGUGAAAAGUGGAAAGAGAUCAAAGUGUUUGAAAAAAUCAGAGGAGGAUUCGGGAAAAGAUACAUUACAAAGGGGUCUUAGCAAGGAGGAGGAGGAAGAGGAAGAUACUUCUAAGGGACAUGUCUCCGAAAGGUCACCAUCUUCUGAUGGAUCUGGGGAGAAAAGGUCCCAGUUUCGUGGUACUAAGCAUAAGCUGGAUGACAAUGAAGAUUCAAGGCUAGCUAAAAAGUCAAAAUAUGCAGACAAGGGUGGUGCAAUAACCAAGAGCUCAAGAAAUAGCAAUUUAUCUCAUUUUUAUGCUAAAAGUAAGGAGGUCAUAGAAAGUAAGAAGAAAUCUGCUACAACUCUGAAAGCUGAUAGUCAUCUGGUUUCUAAAACAGGAAUGCAUAAUGUUAGGAUGCCCAUACAAGGCCCGCCAUUAUCAAAACAACAUUGUCAUGAAUUGGAGACAGCAUCAAAUUCAGAGACUAAAAGUGCUAGAGAUAAAACCUAUGUUCGCCCCAGACGGAGGUCAUGUCGAUUUGAUGAUGAUGAUGAAGAGGAAGGGCACAAAACUCCAGUUCAUAAACAAUCGGCUGGCAAUUUGAUUAUGGUAAAACCAGACAUAUCAGCUCCUACUGAGAAAUUUCAGUCACAGCUAGGAAGAUGCAGUGAUCCUCCAUCAAACGUUAACAAUGGCGUGAUUAAAAACCCAGAUUUUACAAGAGAGGAGGAGUCUUCCAGUGAUAGGACAUCACCUGUUAAAAUUGAGAAUGAUUCUUCGUCUCCUUGUCGUGGCAAAAUCGCAGAGAGAAGGGCAGAAAAAGCUUCUGGAUUUGGGAAGCCAGAAUAUCAGAAAUCCUCAUUUAGUGAGGUCAGGAAAACCAUUGUUUCACCCAAAAUAUCUGCUGGCCCAGGUGAUACAACAAAGUUGUCAGAGCACAAAUCUAUCAAGCCCCAACCAAGAACUUCAAGUUCAGUUUUGGUAAAGAAAGCACAAACUUCUUCGUCUAAACUCUCAAGCCAGACUGCUGAGAGCUUAACCCGCACUCAUAAUCAAGCUAUGGCAGAAAAGAAUAGGUCAUCGUCUAAGUCAGAGAUGGUGAAGGUCAACUCUAAAUCCGAUGUGCAGAUAUCUGAGGUCACUGAAAAUAGGUCUGUCAUUACUUUUUCUGCUGAGCAUAACACUGAGAAGGAUGUUUUAGCAGGAGAACGAUCAGAAACUGCUAAAGAAGAUAAACCUGCAAGUUUAUCAACUGAUUGCAAAUAUACAGGUUCCUUCAAGUCAAUGAAACAUCUUAUUGCAGCUGCUCAAGCAAAGAGGAGACAGGCACAUUCUCAUUGCCUACCCUGUGAAUAUGCUUUUCCUGGUUCAGUCUCGACACCGCCUGUGAUACAGGGAAGAAGCCCAAGUCCUGCUUCUUCCAUUCCCUUGUCAUCAGGGAAUUCUGUUCAAAUGGAUGCAAAAGAAACUUCCGCACCUUCUGAUUCUCCAUCCAUACUUGCUCGACAACUGUCAUCAACAAAUCAAGUAGAACUCGAAGAAUAUGAGCACAAAUUUAGUCCUGGAUAUAGACCACCUGGGGGUUCAUUGAGUGGCGGUACUGAAGCUGCUGUUGCACGUGAUGCUUUGGAAGGAAUGUUAGAAACACUUUCAAGGACAAAGGAAAGUAUUGGACGUGCAACCCGUCAUGCCAUUGAUUGUGCCAAAUAUGGCAUUGCUGGUGAGAUUGUAGAACUUCUCAUUCGGAAGCUAGAGUGUGAACCCAGUUUUCAUCGUAAAGUUGACCUCUUUUUCCUUGUGGAUUCUAUCACCCAAUGUUCACAUAACCAGAAAGGAAUCGCUGGAGCCUCAUAUGUUCCUACUGUGCAAGCAGCAUUACCACGUCUUUUGGGUGGCGCUGCUCCACCUGGAGCUGGUGCUCGUGAGAAUCGUCGCCAAUGUCUCAAGGUCUUAAGGUUGUGGCUUGAGAGAAAAAUUCUGCCUGAAUCACUUCUACGUCAGUACAUGGAUGAAAUUGAUGUUCCAAAUGAUGACACGAAUGCUGGAUUUUUUCUGAGACGUCCAUCUCGAGCUGAGCGUUCCGUGGAUGAUCCGAUCAGAGAAAUGGAAGGCAUGCUUGUUGAUGAGUAUGGAAGCAAUGCAACUUUUCAAUUGCCUGGACUUUUAUCAUCCAAUGUUUUUGGCGAUGAGGAUGAAGAUCUUCCUGGUAGUCCAUGCAAGGAUACUGGCAAUGAAUUGGUAGUUGAAGCUGUCGGUGCUUCAGAAGAGCUAGAUGCUUGUGCUUUUACUCCAAGUGACAGACAUCAUCACAUACUGGAGGAUGUGGAUGGUGAACUUGAAAUGGAAGAUGUGUCUGCCUUAUCCAAAGAUGAGAAAAGUGUAUCAGGGAAUAAUCACAUAAAACUGGAACCUCAGCAUCAGAACUCUGACUUAGCUUUUGAACCUGCAUUGGCAGAUCAAACUGAGCUUCCCCCUCUACCUGUGGGUCCUCCUCCACUGCCUUUGGAUCCACCUCCGCUGCCUUUGGAUCCUCCACCUCCGCCACCACCUUUGCCUCCAUCACCACCGCCGCCGCCACCACCACCACCAUUAUCACCAUCUCCUCCACCCCCACCCCCACCCCCACCAUUAUCUGCAGCACCACCCCUGCCAUCUCUCCUGCCACCCCCACCCAUGGUGUCGUCAUCCCCGUCAUCAUUGUUAUAUCAUCCUUCUAUGCAAGAAUAUAGCAGGACCCCAAGUGGCAAUCAACUAGCCCAGAUGACUGCAAAUGCUACCAUCCAGGGCCAGGAUAAUGCUGCUUUGAAAAGUGAAGUGGUUUUGCAGCAGCCUGCUAACUUCAUGACAAGUGGCAUUUGCAACACACAACCUAUAACCAGCUUUAGUUCCUCGAGGCCAUAUGAAUAUGGACAUAAUGACAUGUAUUUAACAACUCAAUCUUCCUAUGCCAGUCACCAGCUUCAACAGGGCAGUGCGCCCUUCCACCAAAGACCUUACCAUCCUCUUCCCCCUGCACAAACACCCCCAAGUCAUCCCUUUCCACCUGCACAAACACCACCAAAUCAUUUCUCACAUGUUAAUGCUAUCAGUCAACAAAAUAUGCAGCAGUCGUGUAAUCCUUACACCUUGUCAUCUCAUCCUAAUAGUCGGAGGCAUUUUGCUUCUGAUGAACAAUGGAGAGUGCAUUCUGGGGAUUUUAGUCCAGAUAAUCAUCAUAAUGCUUGGGUGUCUGGAGGGUCGUCAGCUUCUUUGGUGCAGGAUGGAUUUUUGAGGCCUAACAUGGAAAGACCAUCUUCAAGUUCCAUGUGUUUUCAGCUUCCUUUGAAUACUCUUAUGCCAUCUGGCGGAGAUUCAGUUCCAGGCCAUGGUCUUCGCCAGGUGUUGUCAUGUAGGCCUGAUGUUCCUCUUAAUUGUUGGAGGCCAGCUUAAUGGUGAAUUUGGUAGUGUUUAGUUUGUGCUUUUGGCUGUAUGACAUGUGGAAGUUGGGGACUUGCAACACUGAUAUUUGUGGAGGAGGAACUUUCCUUGGAAAAAGGCAAUUGCCAUUAAAGAUGGUGGCAAUAUCUAGAACUGCCUGUUGGCAAGGCUUUGUACAUUUUAAUUUUGUCUUGACAAUUGCAUCAAGCAGGCUAAUCGCUGCUAAAUAAGUAGAAAUAUCUGGGUGGAAGCAAAAUAGGCAUGAGAUGAGGAGAAAAUAUGUGAUUUACUUGCAGAGGUUUUUGGCUGCACGAAUGGUGAUCUAUGUAAAUAGAUAUCUUAUCAGAAUCAUAUGUGGCAAAUGAAGAAGUUAUGUUAAAGGUUCCCGGCAGAUGAAAACAGCUUCAAAUGCUGCUGUGAAGUUUGGAAAUGCCAUAGGUUCUUGGAGAAAUGGACAGUUCCAUGACAUUCUGCAGAGCAUUUUCAAAACAUCGGACAGAGGUCAUUGUUCCUAAACUUCCAAGUUCAGAAUUCUGGUUUAGUUGUCUCAAUUUUGGCAUAGAUAUUGAAAAGUUAUUGCUGUGACUUGAAGUGGGAAAAGAUAAUAGUAACCUAUAUUUUUCUUGAUAUUGAUCUUUCACCAUGUUUUAAUUUGAAGCUGAAACAGUGAAAAUUUACUACAUAAACUCUGAAACUAAAUCUUUUGUGUAGGCUUAUCAUAUGUAAAUAUACUUGCUUCUAAGUGCCAAUGUUUAUUUGUUAUUUUGAUA